GGCAGGAUCAACCAGGUAGCAUCCCUCAUAGACAUCGAGUCGCAAGAUGUACAACAUCUUGCAGACAUCGAACGUCAAUCGAAUGGGGCACGUAAUGCCAAUUUGGGGUCAAAUAUAGGGUCAUAGGACCCUUACCCGCAGUGUUUUCCGAAUCCCCGAAAUCAAGCUAAGCUCGUGGCCCGAGACUGCAUAGCAAUUUGUAUGCAAUUCGGUACACAAAUUUCGCUUUAUGUUUUGCCCGAUGCCGCACCGUGUAAACGGGCAGCGGUGGGGAAACUUGGGAUAGAUUGCCCAACGAAUUCCGUCGAUGUAGGUAUACAGCACAGGAAACCGACAACUUGGCCAAGGUCAAAGAGACUCUUGUGCCAAUACUUGAAGAGGAAUGCACUAGAGGACGUCGCUACCCAAGUAGGGAUCCAA
rnacentral:misc_RNA from 1 species